GCGAGGAGGGCGCCCCCAGGAGUUCACAAUUUAUUUGUCAGCAUGAAAAAUCCCAUCUGGAAAGGCAGUGACACAGAGCAGUAACUAACAAGGACAAAAAAGGGCUACUCCCGAGGCUCUGCACCCAGCUGCUCCCCUCAGCACGUAGCCCUGAAGCCCAGUCAGCUUCUCCGAUGCUGUUAGCUUCUCUCCUCUGCUCAGCCUGGCACUGGCAUGGGUUGCUGAGAAGGCCCCUGAAGCAGCAUUUCAUCACCACCAUGGCCUCCAAGAGAGCGGUGCCUCCUAUGAGCCCUAGAGUGCAGGUUCUCCAAGGGCCACUGAGGCCCUGAGAACCUUCCUCUGCUCACCGUCAAGGUCAGCCGGGACCUCGGAAACUGGUGUUCCUCACUCUCCCUCUCAUGUAAACACCUCUGGCUGACCUGGUCGUGGGAGCAGGCUCGGACCUGUGAGGCCAGGCAAGGGUCCCUGGUGAGAAGGGCCUGUUCACCUCCCCUGCCUCCUGCCAGUCACUGUGGUUCUCUCCGGGGUCAUCAUGGAAGUCUCCUUCUUGGUUCUUCGUCAGCCAAGAGUGACAGGAACAAGAACAACAAGAGGACCUCGUGCAAGGAGCUCCUGAUGCCUUCCCCAGUCCAUUUGUCCACCCCUUGGGUGGCUCAGACUCAAGCUGCUCUUCUCUCUACGUCUGCUCCUAAACACUGGGGGGUCAUCACUCAAGGAUAAGGGCUUUUUUUUUUUUUAACCAACAAUAUCUUUGCUCUAAAGCAAAGCAGGGCUAAGGAUGGAGAGACAGAGACCUCCCAUCUUUGCUCCUUCACCUGUCAAUCAAAAGGGCAAUAAAGUGAUUGAAAAGGCAUAAAAACAAAGCUCAGAGAGGAGAAGACAGGAAGACUCGGCCAGGAGGGAGGACUGAGCAAUCUCAGGUAAAGCAGGAACAGGGAAGCCCAGCUACCACCCAGGGGAUCUGCGCCAGACUCAGGAAACCUCAGAAGUCAGGGGUGUCAAGGAGCCCGGGUGAUUGUGAGGCACCUCAGGCAUGCAGGGGCAGCUGGGCAGUGAGGGUGGAGGACACCUUGCUGAGAGGGGUGAGUGGAGCCCCCCUGUGGAGAGUGGGAUACCUCACCCACCUUCCAAGCUCCCAGAAUGUCAAAGGCCAGGCUCAUACCCCCAGGCAGGAGGUCAAAGAAUUAAAGGACCUCUCUCUUGGCUGUGGAGGGAAAAUCUACAAAUGCAGUCUUUGGACUUAGGAGUCCCCAGUGGAAGAACUGGGCCAUCUCCACUGCUGUGAGGUGAGGGCCACUCGUAAGCAAGCCCCCAUACGCCUCCUACAGCUGUUGGGCCUUGGCUGCAGAGCUGUUGGGCACUUGGCUGCAGAGCUGUUAUCAGCCAGGGUCCCAGCAGGAAAUCCAUGACACGCUCAAGCUUGGUAAAUCGAGAAAAGUUUAAUUAAGGAACUGCUAUUGAAAAGCAAUAAUCAAAAAAGAACUAAUGGCAAACGUGCAGGCAGUCUUGGAAUACCAUGGGAGAGCUGCAGUGCCCUGCCACCAGCACAAACUCCAGUCUUGAAGGACAUGCCUGAGCAGUUAGUGGAACCCAGGAAGGCCACAGGACAGCAGGGAUGCCCAGCAAGGCCUUCAGGAGAGGGAUGCAGAUGACUGGAGGAAACCUCUAUGGGAAAGAGCCCGGCUGCAUCUCCUCCCCACACACCAUCCACUCCCAUUGGAAGCACAUGUGGCUGCUUCCUGCAUGUGAGUGGGUUGGGGUGGGGGGUCUGUGUGGAGGAUGCAGGCCAGAGACCCAGGGAGACCCUAACAUGACACAGACCCAGAGAGAAACCUGGAGGAAGCCGAGUGGAUGGAGGGAGUAGGACGCAGACAAACCUAUGAUAUUCGCAGAGAAACAGGGUGGCCGUGAAAUAAGAGCAGACACCGCAAAACUACACACAGAAUCUUUCAAUUAAAAGUAGAAUAGACAUAAAUAAUUUAAUAGAAAUGUUGAAUAUUAGACUCAUUUACAUCUCACAGAAACAGAAUAAAAAGAUGCACAGAUGAAGAAUUAGGGAGGAAUGAAAAAAGAAAUAGAGAAUCAACCCAGAAAUUCCAAUACCCACUUAAUGAGAAGAGAGACCAGAGAGGUCAGACAGGAGAGACCAGCAAAGAAAUAACUCAAACAAGUGGUCCAGAACUGCAGACAGGAGCCCAGAUUGAGAGAGUAGCGCAUGCAUGAAAGAACAGAGUAAAAACACCUGUGUCAUCCACAUCCUCAUUGCUGAGACACUUCAGGCAGAGCUCACCAGCAGCCCAGGGGCCAGAGCCACAGGCCCCAGCACUCUCGUGGCAGAACUGGAAUGGCUGAGACCUCCCUACAGAACGCUGGAGUCUGCAGGGCGGGAAGUGAAGCCUUCUCAGUUCUGAGAGACAUUUCUUGCAGCCUAGAAUCCUGGUCCCAGAAAGAAAAGGUCAAGGAGAGAAUGGCGACGUCUCCAGACAUUGCAGGUCUCAAAGGGUUCCUUCCACACAGGGUAACUCAGGCAGCCCUGAAGGUGAGGAGCAGGGAGACACAGGGAAAUGUGGCCAGAGCCUUAGGAGCUGAGGCAGUGGGGGCCUCAGGGACGCCAUGGCUGGACCUUCGAUGUGCCUGAUCGUCCAAGGGUCUUUCUUAUUUCCGUUAGGAAGUAUGUGGCUAGAACAGUGGUCCCUUCCUAGAAGUCUAAGGAAAUAACAACUAAAAUGCAACAGCUUCUAACCCCAGAGGAAACGGAGUGCAUGAAGGGAAACUUAAUCAUUUUACAAUUACACAGCUCAGCUGAGAAUAAGCUCUGCGUGAUCACAGGAUGGCAACCUGGAAUACUGAGGUCGCCACAGAGUGUGGCUAUCGCAUUGGAGGAGAAGGGGGUGCAGAGAUUGUGGGUGCAUGCAUGUGCUUAGCAGAAAGGUUAGCUCCUCCCCCAUCAUUGAAGGAAAUCAAUAGAUGAGCCCCAAAAUAAACAUGAGACACAAGCAUGUUCUUUCACAGGAGGCAAACACCAAGAGACAGAGUGACAGCCGCAAGGACCGAGGGUGGAAUAAGGAAGCCGCUUUCACCACAAACCAGGCAGUAAUGCUGGCUCUUAAAAGCUUUGCAAGCAGUGAUUCUUGCCCUUUUGGCCAAGACCAAGUGUAGUACCUGCUCUUAGCCGUUUAAGAAUUUUACAUAUACAAGUGCAAUAAAAUUUACAAGUAAAGCCUUAAAAAUAUGUAGAAAGUUACGUUUUAAAUAGCAACAAAUAAUUUGGGUGUUGAUGUGUAAAACAGAGCAGGGCUACUGGGCUUAACUGGAAUUUGAAGCAGAUGCAGCUUAUAAAAUUUCAAUAAUCAGUUUCUGAAAUUUUAUUUUAAAAAAUAAUUAUGAGUAGAGGACACGUUGCUUUUUAUUUUGCUGGUAGUUUUCACUACACACAGACUGCAAUUUGGGAAUUGCAGAAAGAGACUGAGCUGACCAACUUAGAGCUGUGUCAAGAAAAGUUUCCAUUAGGUCCUAAAGUCCCCAGAGGCUAGAGGCUAGGGAGGGCCUGCUACAGGGGCCAGCUGGUUGGACACGGCCUGAGCCCCCACACUCGCCCCCAGAUGCUGUGGUUCUGCUGCAAAACCAGACCCUCGUUUCCAGCAUCCUCUGUUUCCAUGAGCAAUACUAUAAGCCUUGAGCAGAACCAGAGCCGCGUGCACAGACACGGUGUCAUCUCAUGAUUUCCACCUCCUGAACCAUGUGUGGGCACUGACGGCAGACUGGAAAGCGGAAAGCUGCGGGAUGUAGUCCUUGCAUGGACCCCAUGGCCAGGACUACCUCAGAACUUCUGAGGGUUAUGUUCCAAGUUCAUUCCUGCCCCUGCUCAGGCCCCAAAUCUGCCUGCAUCUGCAAAGCCCUAGAGCUUGCAGUCCUUAGACCUAAAUAAGUGGCUCCUGCUCCCACCAGGCCAGGCCAGUUAGGAGAGAGGGUCAAAGUCAUAGGUCACAGAGUGAUGCAAAGGAUGAUGAGAUCAGGCAGUGGGGCUUCAGUCUGGGGGCUUCCACAGUGGUCCCAGCCUGUAGCCAUUGCCUCUGCACCUAGCCAAUGCACCACCAGCCCCCAAGACUUCCCUAGAGGCAGAGGAGGUGAUGAUAAGGGGACGCUGUGAGGGGUCUUCUGGUCAACUUGCCUUUCUGUGGCCUUUUCCCCUCUUCCCAGUGGAGCAAAUUGUUUCCCUGUAGGAGAAGAAAAACUGGACGCCUGUAACCCAUGGCAGAUGAACAAGAGAAAAACAGAAGUUUAUUAAUCCACACACCUCAUGCGUGGGUGGCAAACUCCAGGGGAAGACGCACAAAUCUGCAGGAGGUGGCCCAGAACCCUAGCUUAUCUUCAACUAAAAUAAAGAAAGAAGAUGGGGGUGGCCGGCAACGGGGAGGUGACCAGAAAGGCAGGUGACCAAGGCCACAACUUGCUGUGGGCUUGUAAUAGAGCUUUCUCCUCAACAAGUGUCUCUUGUAACUGAGUUUCCCUCUUCUUCCUGGAUCCCAGAGGAGACACCCGGCAGGUAGAGAUUCCUUCACAGAGGUAAAUUCCCCUUCCAAAAGGGCGACUUCUUAGAGCUUCUCCUGCAGCUGCCAUUCCUCAAAAUCCUUGUUCAAUGAGGCACACUCUGGGAUGGGGCCUUCUCUCUCCUGAAGGUCCCACGGGAAGGCCUGGGCUGGGUACCAGACUCUCUUCCAAGCCAAACAACCUAUCACCUGGAAACAGCCACUUUUAACCACAAGUGAUGAGAAAUGCUUUAUUCUCUAUUUGGAUAUUUUUAAGUGCCUCUGUACAACUGUCUCUGUCACCAAGCCAGUUCCACUGAUCAGAGCACUGCAGGGGACAUCAGAUCGGGGAUCCCCAACCCCCGGGUCAUGGACCAGUACUGGUCUGUUGCCUGUAAGGAACUGGGCCACACAGCAGGUGAGUGACAGGUGAGUGAACAAAG
rnacentral:lncRNA from 10 species